UAUCAUUUAUCAACUUUAUUUUUGUGUGUGUCUUAGAUGUGAAUAGUUCCUAGAACUAGAACAUCGCUGGUCAUUGUUAGUGUUCUAUGUGUGCUGUGUAUGUAUAUUAAAUAGUUUGAGAAGCUGUGGUUAGGUAUAUUUUAGCUUUGUGGAACCUAAGCAAAAAAAUAUACAUCAAUACAAAAAAUGUUGCAUACAUGUAGGAGCAAUGAAUAAGCUCGACUUGGUGUUAUAUGAAAUCUUUCCAAAAUAUGUAAGGAUAUUCUACACCUCUCCAAAACUGCUAAGGGUUGUUUUUUUUUAGAGUUGUUUUGUAUUAGGUAGUUUAAAAAGAAAAAAAAAACAAUUAUGAAAGAAAAAAAAAAUGAAAAAAUAUAAAAAAAUGACAAAAAGAAAAAAAAAGACAUUGGUGCACGCACCGGUACUCGAACCAGGGGGUCUGAGAUGUGUUCAGCAUCUCUAUCCACUGGACUACGAGGCACCUAGAAUCAACUUGGUCGUAAUAGAAGCUUAUAGCAGUUCUUGGUAUGUUAGGUUGAACAAAAAUAGGUAGAAAAAAAAGGUAAAAACAAAAAAACAAAAAUUAAUGUUCAAGGACAAAUUUUCUUAUAAAAUUUUCGAAAUUCGAAAUUUUACAAAAAAAAAUUCACAUAUACAGUGAAAUAUAAUAUCAAAAAAAAUCUUAAAAUCGGUGAAUUUUGACCAAAAAUGAUAAGAAAUAUUACACAUAUUUUUGAAAAAUUCAGAAAUGAAUUUUAAGAUAUUAUUUGUAUUUUUGUGGUCAAAAACCAUUGAUUAAAUGACUAAACGGAAACCCAGAUAUUUCGUCCAUGAUUGUUUUGAGAGUGUAUGUGUGAGGGAACCUGUGAGUCUACUCAAGGGUAUAAAUAGUUCAAGAAAAUCAUAAUCUUUCCUUUUUUUGGUGAUUUUUUCCGUACAUUACACGUUAUACGUUAUAUCCGAGUCAAAGAUACAAGAAGUUUUUUUUACAAGUGUUUUUUUUUUCAAUUUCAAGUUUUUUUUUAAAAAAAGUUUAAUUUAAAGUUUUUUUUUUCAAGUUUUUUUUUACAAAUAAUUGUUAUCUUAAAAAAAAACAAUACCUACUUUUGUGCGCAAAACCCAAUUAUUUUAAAAGGUGAGAUUUUUUUUAAUUGAGUUGGCUUUACAUUUUACCCUAAUACUUGCCCUCGUGAUUUUUUUCUACCAGGUGCUCCAGGUGGAGAAAAUUCUAAUUGUUUUAAUUAACACCUACAUACAUUAAUUUUGUGUUUUAUUAAACAUUACUGCUUAAAAUUAAAGGUGCUCCAGAGUAAAAAUCGAUCGAAUUCGAUUCGAAACAAAAAAAAAAAACCGACCAUCCAAUCAGACUUUUUAAAGUCUAAAAGUGCUCUUUUUGCUAAGCCACACAAUAUCGCCCAAGUUCAGAAAAAAAAACUAUUUGACUCGCAGCCUGAGCAAACAAAAAAAAAUCACCCCCAAAAUCUCCAUCUUGGAACCUUUUUAUUUAAAUGUGUAAAAAAAGUACAUAUUUUUAUUUUUUUUUGAUCCUGUUUAAAAAUCCUGCAAGGACUAAAUAAAAUUAACAGCAAAAAAAAAAA